rnacentral:rRNA from 1 species
UACGAAGGGGGCUAGCGUUGUUCGGAUUUACUGGGCGUAAAGCGCACGUAGGCGGAUUGCUAAGUCAGGGGUGAAAUCCUGGAGCUCAACUCCAGAACUGCCUUUGAUACUGGCGAUCUCGAGUCCGGGAGAGGUGAGUGGAACUGCGAGUGUAGAGGUGAAAUUCGUAGAUAUUCGCAAGAACACCAGUGGCGAAGGCGGCUCACUGGCCCGGUACUGACGCUGAGGUGCGAAAGCGUGGGGAGCAAACAGG